rnacentral:rRNA from 1 species
UGCCAGCAGCCGCGGUAAUACGAACCGGACAAACGUUAUUCGGAAUUAUUGGGCUUAAAGGGUGCGUAGGCGGCGAUGUAGGUGGGGUGUGAAAUCCCUCGGCUCAACCGAGGAACUGCGCCCCAAACCACAUGGCUAGAGGGAGACAGAGGUAAGCGGAACUGAUGGUGGAGCGGUGAAAUGCGUUGAUAUCAUCAGGAACACCAGUGGCGAAAGCGGCUUACUGGGUCUUUUCUGACGCUGAGGCACGAAAGCUAGGGUAGCGAACGGGAUUAGAUA